UACGUAGGGGGCAAGCGUUGUCCGGAAUCAUUGGGCGUAAAGCGCGCGUAGGCGGCCCGGUAAGUCCGCUCUGAAAGUCCAGGGCUCAACCCUGGAAAGCGGGUGGAUACUGCCGGGCUAGAAUCCGGAAGAGGAGAGUGGAAUUCCUGGUGUAGCGGUGAAAUGCGCAGAUAUCAGGAAGAACACCCGUGGCGAAGGCGGCUCUCUGGGACGGUACUGACGCUGAGACGCGAAAGCGUGGGGAGCGAACAGG
rnacentral:rRNA from 1 species